rnacentral:tRNA from 1 species
AAGCUCCGAGGUGUUUAACAUAUUAGAUUGCAAAUCUAAAGAAGUAGGCUAACGCCUGCCGGGGCUUU